GCGGCGAACGGGUGAGUAACACGUGGGUGAUCUGCCCUGCACUCUGGGAUAAGCUUGGGAAACUGGGUCUAAUACCGGAUAUGACCACAGCAUGCAUGUGUUGUGGUGGAAAGAUUUAUCGGUGCAGGAUGGGCCCGCGGCCUAUCAGCUUGUUGGUGGGGUAAUGGCCUACCAAGGCGACGACGGGUAGCCGACCUGAGAGGGUGACCGGCCACACUGGGACUGAGACACGGCCCAGACUCCUACGGGAGGCAGCAGUGGGGAAUAUUGCACAAUGGGCGGAAGCCUGAUGCAGCGACGCCGCGUGAGGGAUGAAGGCCUUCGGGUUGUAAACCUCUUUCAGCAGGGACGAAGCGUGAGUGACGGUACCUGCAGAAGAAGCACCGGCUAACUACGUGCCAGCAGCCGCGGUAAUACGUAGGGUGCGAGCGUUGUCCGGAAUUACUGGGCGUAAAGAGUUCGUAGGCGGUUUGUCGCGUCGUUUGUGAAAACCCGGGGCUCAACUUCGGGCUUGCAGGCGAUACGGGCAGACUUGAGUGUUUCAGGGGAGACUGGAAUUCCUGGUGUAGCGGUGAAAUGCGCAGAUAUCAGGAGGAACACCGGUGGCGAAGGCGGGUCUCUGGGAAACAACUGACGCUGAGGAACGAAAGCG
rnacentral:rRNA from 1 species